CCCUUAGAUGUCCUGGGCUGCACGCGCGCUACACUGAUGUGUCCAGUAAGCACCUAACCUCUUCCGAAAGGAACGGGUAACCUUUGCAAAGCACAUCGUGAUGGGGAUAGAUUAUUGCAAUUAUUAGUCUUGAACGAGGAAUUCCUAGUAAGCACAAGUCAUCAGCUUGUGUUGAUUACGUCCCUGCCCUUUGUACACACCGCCCGUCGCUCCUACCGAUUGAAUGUUCCGGUGAGCUCUUCGGACUGCGCGGUCUGCAGUUUCUGCGUUCCGUGCGGAAAGUUGCGCAAACCUUAACACUUAGAGGAAGGAGAAGUCGUAACA
rnacentral:rRNA from 1 species